rnacentral:rRNA from 1 species
CGGAGGAUCCAAGCGUUAUCCGGAUUCAUUGGGUUUAAAGGGUGCGUAGGCGGAAUGAUGAGUCAGUGGUGAAAUCCCUUCGCUUAACGAAGGAACUGCCAUUGAUACUGUCAAUCUUGAGUACAUUUGAUGUGGGCGGAAUGUGUCAUGUAGCGGUGAAAUGCUUAGAUAUGACACAGAACACCGAUUGCGAAGGCAGCUCACAAAACUGUAACUGACGCUGAGGCACGAAAGCGUGGGUAUCAAACAGGAUUAGAUACCCUGGUAGUCCACGCUGUAAACUAUGAUUACUCGAUGUUUGCGAUACACUGUAAGCGUCUAAGCGAAAGCGAUAAGUAAUCCACCUGGGGAGUACGCCCGCAAGAGUG